CAGGUUUGAUAUAUCUCACAGGCCGUUGCUGCAACUCAGCAGGUUUAAUCCUCAAGUCUUUCAUGCUGUCAAUAAAAAGAGUUUCACUAAGGACAGCAGGCUCAGCAGCGCAACAACAGCUAUCCUGUGAUUCGUCUUUGCAAGGGAAGCGGGAAGCAGAGACUAGUGCUGGAACAUGACAGCAGACAUUGUUUGAGAGGCUUCUUGGUGUGGAGGAAGUGGACCUAAACAAGCUGACUUUUGUAUUUAGUUUAAUCUCUACCCCUCCUUCUCCUGCUUCCUAUGCUCUGUCGCUUUCCAUUUCAUCUCUCCUUUUUGCCCACCCUUCCAUUCCCACACCUCUCCCAGUCUAAAUUCCAGCCCUCCGACAAAAAAAGAAGCGAAAACGUUGAUGAAAUGCCUAACUUUGCUUUGGUAGGGUUACAAGGUGGAAAGGGAAAAGGACAAAGCCACACGGAUAAAAGGUUAAUCCUCUAACAAGUCCACAGACGUGUGGAGUCAAAGGACAGAGAGGGAGGAGGAGUAAAAAACAGCAAGUGCACCAAACAGAUGUGGCAAUCAAGCUCUCGGCAAGCGAGAGAUGGGAGAGGAAAAUGUUGGAAAAUGAGAGGGAUAAACAGCGGUUGGAGAAACAGCAUUUUUCAGUCAAGCUGUUUCUCCUUCAUGACUUCUGCUCUGCAUGAUGACAAAUGUCUGUUGCUGCUCCCAUUGGCCAGUCCCGCUACCAAUCAGAGCAGAGGCAUGUAA